rnacentral:lncRNA from 1 species
GCAACCCGGGUUUAAAUCCAAGCAAUUGAAUUAUAUUUUCCUUUUUCGUCGAUACUCUUUUGCUUCUUUCUUCCUUUUGGGUUUCCAGAAAAAAACUUAAAUAUGGAGUAUCUCAUUUUAAGGGUUCUUCUGCUUCUGCAAUUGCCACCCCUGGGUUUCUCUCUCCAAUUUCCCAAUUUAUUUACUAGAAAAUGAGUCGUUAAAAAUUCGAUUUCCUCUGCGAAUUAUGUACGGCAAUGGAGCUAGAAGCAAGAUGAUUUAAAUUUCAGCAGUUCAUUAUUCAUUGGAGUACGUGUAUGUAAUCUUAAUUUUCUUAAACACCCAUUACAAAUCAAUUGAAUUUUAUCAUAUUUUUACCAUUUCAGAUAAUAUAAACUCAAGUGUUAAUUAUUGUUUGGGUUGUGGCUCAGUUUCUUAAAAUUCUUUAUAUCUGUUGGCUCAUUUUGUUGCAUCUCAAAAAAUUGUGGUAAAAUUUGAGCAUUUUUGUGAUUGCAAUGAUGUGAUGUUAAGUGAGAUUUCCAUUUCAUAUGGUUCACUCCAUUAAUCCUGAAAAGAUUUGUCAGUUUUGAUAUCUUUAAUAAUUUCAGCAUAUGUUGUACAUCAUUGAGGAAAUAUUUAAGAAUCAUUUUGCUGGAAAAAAUUCAAUCAUUUUUAGAGGCAAAACUAAAACUUGAAAAUGCGAAUAUUUGAGUGUGUAAAAAGUAAUGUCAGAUGAAACUAUAAUGCAUAGGGAACCGUCGCAAACACAGGAAAACUAAUUACGAUAAUGUAUUUUUCAAAUCAUCGAUGAUCAUGGGUAAUCCUUCUCGAGGAGAAAUGUCAGUUUCCUUCAUAUAAUUAUAUGUUAACAAAUGGAAAGAUAACAAAUUAUAGACUGUUGCAGACAAACAAAAACCUGGAGUUAUGUUUUAACACAAAUAAUGCUGGCUGUUUUUCUUUGUUGUCUUAAAUGACUCUUGCACUAGUUGAGCUUCUACAUUUCUAAUGCGUAUACCUUGCUCGUUACUGUAAUGAAGUUACUAAUUUCCCUAACUUUCUCUGAAUCAGAUUUUGGCCAGUAGAAGUUGUUUAGAUGAGG